ACUUUCUUAGUAUCAACAAGUACACGUGACUUCCAAUCACAAAGCCUCAGUUAAAAUCUGAGAGAAAGUA
ensembl:Mt_tRNA